ensembl:lncRNA
GUAAAAAUAAACGAGGGUUGGAGAUGUAGCUCAGUGGUAGAGCACUUGCCUAGCAGAUGUGAGGCCUUGGGUUCAAUCCUCAGCACUAAAAAAUAAAUAAAAUAAAAAGGGAGAGAAAAGGAAGUAACAGAUAAUCAUAUAAAUUUGGGAAAUUGAGCUCAAUAAAGAUAAGCAAGUUGUUUUCUUUUUUUAAACAGGAUUUAUCGGGACAUGUAAUAUGCCACCAGGCAUUGUGAAUGUCCAAAAAUCUAUACAGUAUUUUUUCACACAUUAUUUGACUAUAAGACUCAUUUUCUCAUGAUCCUGUUGGGUGAAGAGUAUUCUAUUAGCAACUUUGUGACAUACUGCUACUCAAAGCUUGACCAUCAGAACAGGGUCAUUCAAAGGAUGACUGGUUACUCAUGGGCAAUGAGCUAAGAACAGAAAUAACACAAAGCUUUUAGAAACUUUUAUAGCUUUCAUAACUUGACAGAAUAACUUCUAUAUCUUUUGGAUCUAAUCACAAAGUAGUAGGGCUUACAUUUCUUUGUUUUAUUAACUUCAUUUUCUUAGAAAUUAAUUUUUAAGGUACUUUAUUUUUUUAAAAUCCAUCUGCAGCACACUGAAAGUUUUAAAAACUGGUCUUUCCCCUCAUAAUUUGAGAAUGUCUUCAUUAACAUGAAACCCCCAACCAGACCUUGCUGGCAUCAAGAAUGGAGCGCAAAGGUUAUCCCAAAGUCCAGACUACCUGCCCUUGCAUGGAAGCCAUCCUGGCCUUUGAUUGCUUCUUCAUCCAUUAUAACCUUGUCAUUUUUACACAGAUUCUCAGACUCAAGUUCCUUGCAGUGGAUCAUUUGCUCCUGCAUCCAUAAGAGGACGGUAGUAUCAGGAGCCCUUGCCUGGAGAGAGGGUCCCGAGAAAGAAGCUGGGAGAGGCUGAGCAGCUCUCUGACAGCCGAGGACAUGUCACUGCAGCAGAGAGCUGGCAAUUUGCAGUACCUGAAGCACCACUCCUAUCUCUGCUAAGAGCUGGUGGAAAAUGGAGCUGCAGAAGAUAAAGCAAAUUCCGAAAGUGAGGACUGUGGGUCUCAAGGAGUGUGAAAAGUCCAGAAGCUGACGCUGGCAGUUUGUACAAACAGCCGAGAGGCAAAUGUAUCAGUGCAGUGGACGCUGGCCUCCUCUCCCAGGAGGGGCCGGGCCACACAUAUUUAGGUGUUGUAAAGGAGGGGCAGAGGGUG